rnacentral:rRNA from 1 species
AGCAGUGGGGAAUAUUGCACAAUGGGCGAAAGCCUGAUGCAGCGACGCCGCGUGAGGGAUGACGGCCUUCGGGUUGUAAACCUCUUUCAGCAGGGAAGAAGCGAAAGUGACGGUACCUGCAGAAGAAGCGCCGGCUAACUACGUGCCAGCAGCCGCGGUAAUACGUAGGGCGCAAGCGUUGUCCGGAAUUAUUGGGCGUAAAGAGCUCGUAGGCGGUCUGUCGCGUCGGAUGUGAAAGCCCGGGGCUUAACCCCGGGUCUGCAUUCGAUACGGGCAGACUAGAGUGUGGUAGGGGAGAUCGGAAUUCCUGGUGUAGCGGUGAAAUGCGCAGAUAUCAGGAGGAACACCGGUGGCGAAGGCGGAUCUCUGGGCCAUUACUGACGCUGAGGAGCGAAAGCGUGGGGAGCGAACAGGAUUAGAUACCCUGGUAGUCCACGCCGUAAACGGUGGGAACUAGGUGUUGGCGACAUUCCACGUCGUCGGUGCCGCAGCUAACGCAUUAAGUUCCCCGCCUGGGGAGUACGGCCGCAAGGCUAAAACUCAAAGGAAUUGACGGGGGCCCGCACAAGCAGCGGAGCAUGUGGCUUAAUUCGACGCAACGCGAAGAACCUUACCAAGGCUUGACAUACACCGGAAAGCAUUAGAGAUAGUG